rnacentral:lncRNA from 1 species
UAAGCGGAAGAGGAAGGGAGAGGUACUUCACGGCUGGCGCCAUCAGUAGCAAUAUAGGAGAACUAUUUUCCUAUCGAGACUGAAUAGAGCAUGAUCGAAAGCACAAUAAACAUAGACCAGUUUUUUGAUAUGAUACGAUGCACGGACCUAUAUUGGGAUCGCCUUAUAGAGUUGGUGGGUGCGCGUGAUCCAAUCAUCACAGAAUUUGGGAACCUCCUGCUUUUGCCCGGGGAGCUUCAAUGAGGAGACGCCCCAUGUUACGACAACUCGCUCGACGAGACACCUUUCCUUUCAUGGCGAAAAGAAUAGUCGAGAUAUCGCGCAUUGAAGGGCGUUGGCCCAUGUUCCUGUGACGCACUGAGACAGCAUUCAGGAAUCAGCCUCUUCGAUUUCAUAAAUUUACUUUCAUAUUACGGUAAUUUAACAAACAUUAUUCUGCACGUAUCAGCUAUAGAAAACGUAACAAUUCGUUCGUCAUCUGCAACUGAUAUUGAAGAAAGUUCUAUAAAUAAUAAACAACUUAUCAUGGAAAUAUUGAUGAAAACCGUUAUUGAUUGCAAUAACCAUAUCCAAUACUAUAAUAUAAAAAUUAAAUUGCACAGUAGAUCUUAAUGGUGUACAGAAUUUGUUGGAGCUUACAUUUCAAAGAGAAGAUAAUUGCAGAAUCAUAAAUAUCGAAAAAAAUACAUUAAUCCUAUUUUUUCGAGCAAUGGUAAAAAAGUGAAUGUACGUAAAUGAUUUUGAAUAAGGUAAUGAAAAAAAAAGUAA